ACUCUAAAACCUGUAUUCUUCGUGUUAGAUCAUGUAGUACUGGUGAAUAUUGUGUUAUUAAACUUGAUACAUGUUAUUCUCUUAAAGCUAUUGUUUUCUUUGUAGAAUGUUCCAGAACAACACUUAACAAAACGAAGAACUAUUUCUCAGCAACCAACAAGGACUGUUUCUCAACAAGCAAUCUUCUCAACAAGGAAGAAUCUGAAAACGACAUAUGGUACUGUGAGAACAGGAAAUAUAACUUUGCUUGAGGGCAGUGGUUCUGACAGCGAAAAUGAAGAUGGGGUUAAAAUCCAUCCUGAAAUCAUCAGUGGUCAGCCUCAUCGACCUACACACCCUGGUCUGAAACCUUCCCUCAAUCCUAUAGUGAACCCUGGUGUUACAAAGGUAGAUUGGUUUUUUUGAAAUCUUUCCCUUCCCCAUGCUUUUUCACAUACAUCCCCUCAAUCUUAAUAAUGAUGACAGAGAUCCUAGAAAGAAAUACAAGCCCUCAAGAUGAUAACAGAAAACAAGUCUUACCAGAGAGAUAGAUGCAUGGGAUUGAGAUUUAUGAAAAAUGGUGGGA
rnacentral:lncRNA from 1 species